UGCAGACAGGCACAAAAAAAGCAUGUUUUCUGGAAAAGCCACCGGAAAACAUGCUUUUUUGAUCUCUUGACUCGCCAAAAACAUAAGUAAGGAGCCAUUUUUCGAAGGAAAAUGAGCGGAUUACGAAUGUUUUUGAAGAUUGCGUGAGUGCAAAGCACAUAGCAAUCUGGUAUCA
rnacentral:sRNA from 1 species